CCCUCCCAAAAAAAAAAGAGAGAAAGAAAAAGAGAAAAUGAGGCCACACUUAAACAACUCCAAGAAAUCCUUAAACAGUUCUGCACUCAUCACCAAAACAACAACAAAAACCCUGGGCUUUAAUUGCCGGAACUUACAGGGCACACAUUUUAAAAGUGUACUCAGAAUUAGAAAGAUGAGGUCCAUUAAUGGCUCUGAUUGCAGCGAGUGUAAAAUGAUGGUAUUUCCCGGUCUGGUGUUUUGGACAAUAUAAAGUUACAUUUUGUUUUCUUGCCAGUGCUUAGUUUUUAGAAUGCUUCUUGAUUUGCCGUUUCUAAGAUGUGUCAUAUUCCAGCAUGUAAACGAAGCUGUGUUUCAAGCAAACAGUAGUUGUUUCUGGCCACGGAGGAUUCGGUGACAUUUGGUAAUGACUAUGGAAGAUGGGUAGAUUGAUUUAAGAAGGCUGAAAAAAGAAAGAAGACUGGGUCCUGAGCAGUGACCAAAGAGCUCCAGUGUCUUUGUUUGAAAACACAUGCAUGCUCCCCCCGGGAUUGCUCACAAGUCACCCCAGAGAAAGGUGCUGUCCCCUGGUAAAGCAGAGGUCAGAGGCUGAAAGCCCAUGUGUGGCCACAGCCCCUCCAUGCUUUGGUUCUUUGCUCGAGAGUUGCAUCCUUUUAAUGGGCUGCCCUUUGUGUAUGUUUCUUUGUGUGUGUUUCCUGGGACCACACGGCUCAGGCAGAGGCAGGCUGUGGAUGCUGGGAUGAGGACCCCAGCCGAGGUGCCCACAGCACAGAAAGGGCUGUUUCCGUAGCAGUGUUCAUGCCGGCAUCGCCAGGCUGCCUCCUUCCCUCCUGGUAACAACCCGAAGUUUUGUCACCCAUCUUACUGGCUUCCGUGUUCACUGUCAUUGGCAGCAAGACACUUCCAGUGAAGAAGUUGGGUCUGAGUUGCAAUUACCCAGAGAUCUCUUCCACUGAAGUGGGAAAAAGUGAUGUCAAUUUCCUCUCUGUGGGCUUUUCCUCUCUUGAGUUUUCGCGUGUUUGUGUCAAACUCCGGAUUAAUCCACAGCCUCUCUUUGCUUGCCUUCCGAAACUCUCCCCAGUCCCUGCCUAUUGUGUUACCCGGCAACCGUUGGGACUUCCCGAGUGGAGGAUUAUGACACUCUUGCUUUGAUGCCAGGCGACCCAGUGCAAAGCCCCCUGUGAUUGUCAGGAGCAGAGAAGGUGAUAAUGCUGCUGGCUGGUGGCCACCAGGGUCAGUGCUGGCCUGUCUGGAUGAAAAAGGGAAGCUCACGCCUGAGCUGCCUCUGGAGGGUGCUGGGAGAAAUGGCCUGCCUCCUACAUCAGCCAGAAGAGGAAAAGAAGGGGAAGGAGCUCAACUUUCAAGCUUACCACGAGGAAGGUGCACGGGUACUCUCCAUUCUUAUCCCAUUGGCCAGAACUUUGUCCGUAGACACACCUCAGUCCAAAGGAGUCUGGGAAAUGUGGUCUUGAACUGGGUGGCCGUGUCCCACCUAAAAAUUCCACAACCGUGAAAAAGAAGGAAGAGAUGUAUCAGGAAACGGCAUUUCUGUCACAGGUGAGUGGAAGAAAUUGCCUUGUGAAUACGAUGAUGAUUAUCCUUUGCAACUGGCCCCGGGAAGAAGUAACUUCCCCGGGAGGAAAAUCAUUCGGCUGUCUGCCAGGUCUUUGCACGGCAAACUAUAGAUUUUGAUAAACAGACCACUGCACAUUUCUCCCUGGCAAGAAUAUAAAGCCCAGUGAUAAUAAGGCAUAUGAGUGCCAUAAACCCUAAGUAGCUGUUUUGAAGUCAUCAGAAUGCAGCGCCUACCAGAUAAUUUACCCAAUCUGUCAGAAUGCUGCUUCCUGCUUCCACCAUCAACCAUUUGGAAUUAACUACAAAGCAGGUCUGCUGUGGAGUCUAAAUCUAGAAAUAGCAGAAUGUAAGCUCUGGAGAUAUUAAAUUUGUGGCAGGCACUUA